UUGUUCAUUAAGGAUGAACUCCUAGGAGGCAUUACAGGAGUCUUGACUUCUCCAAGCCCUCACAAGCACCCCUUUGAACCCUGUGCUGGCACUUAGCCCUCAGGAGGGUGUUGGGCUUGCCUGGUGGCUGGCUGGCCCCGAAGGCAGGUUUUCCUUUCCAUCAGACAGCAACCUGAAACAGAUGACUGGCCGGCUGCUGCACUUUCCCCUGUGGUUAAAUUAUGCUCCAAGCCACUGAGUCUCAGGGAAGCUCAGUUCUGUCUGAUGACAAGAAUAGCUGCAAGAGGGAACCAUCAUGGAGCGCUGCGCUAGCCUCUGUCCCCACAUUUGACUUUUCUCCCCCAUUUUAACAGGAGAAAACAGGCAGAGGUCCGGAGAGACCUCCUGGCCUCACAGCUGAGGAGGGCGGCAGUGGCACUUGACCUCGGAGUCUU
rnacentral:lncRNA from 1 species